rnacentral:rRNA from 1 species
AUUGAACGCUGGCGGCAGGCCUAACACAUGCAAGUCGAACGAGUGGCGGACGGGUGAGUAAUGUCUGGGACACUGCCUGCUGGAGGGGGAUAACUACUGAAACCGGUAGCUAAUACCGCAUAGCAUCAGAUGUUCCCAGAUGGGCUUAGCUAGUUGGUGUGGUAAUGGCUCACCUAGGCGACGAUCACUAGCUGGUCUGAGAGGAUGAUCGGCCGCACUGGAACAGAGGCACGGUCCAGACGCCUACGGGAGGCAGCGGUGUGGAAUAUUGCACAAUGGGCGCAAGCCUGAUGCAUCCAUGCCGCGUGUGUGAAGGAGGCCUUCGGGUUUUAAAGCUCUUACAGCGAUGAGGCGUUACUCGCAGAAGAAGCACCGGCUAACUCCGUGCCAGCAGCCGCGGUAAUUC